rnacentral:rRNA from 1 species
ACAACUUUCAGCAACGGAUCUCUUGGCUCUCGCAUCGAUGAAGAACGCAGCGAAAUGCGAUAAGUAAUGUGAAUUGCAGAAUUCAGUGAAUCAUCGAAUCUUUGAACGCACCUUGCGCGCCUUGGUAUUCCGAGGAGCAUGCCUGUUUGAGUGUCAUU